rnacentral:rRNA from 1 species
GUUUCAGAGAGUUCGAUCCUGGCUCAGGAUGAACGCCGGCGGCGUGCCUAAUACAUGCAAGUCGAGCGGGGCCCGCAAGGGUCCAGCGGCAAACGGGUGAGUAACACGUUGGUAACCUGCCCCUCGGAUCGGAAUACCGGGGAGAAAUCUCCGCUAAUGCCGGAUAUGUGCGCCUGGCUCGGGCCGGGCGGACGAAAGGGGGCCGAAAGGCCUCGCCGGGGGAUGGGCCUGCGGCGCAUCAGCCAGUUGGCGGGACAAAGGCCCACCAAAGCGAGGAUGCGUAGCCGGACUGAGAGGUCGGCCGGCCACAUUGGAACUGAGACACGGUCCAGACUCCUACGGGAGGCAGCAGUAGGGAGUAUUUGGCAAUGGGGGAAACCCUGACCGAGCAACGCCGCGUGUGCGAUGGAGUCCCUCAGGGACGUGAAGCACUGUGGGGGGCCGCCAAACGGGCGGGCAGGAAAUGGCCCGUCCCCGAGGAGCCCCCUAGAAAGCGACUGCUAACCACGUGCCAGCAGCAGCGGUAAUACGUGGGUCGCAAGCGUUAUCCGGAAUCAUUGGGCGUAAAGAGUGAGCAGGCGGUCCGGGAAGUCCGCGGUGAAAUGCGGGGGCUCAACCCCCGCAGGCCGCGGAUACUUCCGGUCUGGGGUGCGGGAGAGGCGGACGGAACUCCGCGUGUAGCGGUGAAAUGCACUGAUACGCGGAAGAACACCGGUGGCGAAGGCGGUCCGCCAGACCGAUACCGACGCUCAGUCACGAAAGCGUGGGGAGCAAAUAGGAUUAGAUACCCUAGUAGUCCACGCCGUAAACGAUGGGGGCCAGGGCGCGGGGUCGACCCGCGUCCGAAGCAAACGCAUUAAGCCCCCCGCCUGGGUACUACGUUCGCAAGAAUAAAACUUAAAGGAAUUGGCGGGUGCCCGCACAAGCAGUGGAGCAUGCGGUUCAAUUCGUGGCUACACGUAGAACCUUACCAGGGUUUGACAUGCCGGCAAAGGCCCCGGAGACGGGGAGAUAGCUAUGCCGGACAAAGGUGGUGCAUGGCUGUCGUCAGCUCGUGUCGUGAGAUGUUAGGUCAAGUCCUCCAACGAGCGCGACCCCCGCCGCCAGUUGCCAUCAUUCGGUUGGGCACUCUGGCGGGACCGCCGGCGACAAGCCGGAGGAAGGCGGGGAUGACGUCAAGUCAUCAUGCCCCUUAUGCCCUGGGCCACACGCGUGCUACAAUGGCCGGCACAGUGGGAAGCGACGCCGCGAGGCGGAGCGGAUCCCAAAAGCCGGUCCCAGUACGGACCGGGGGCUGCAACCCGCCCCCGCGAAGCUGGAAUUGCUAGUAAUCGCGGAUCAGCCAAGCCGCGGUGAAUGCGUUCUCGGGCAUUGCACACACUGCCCGUCACACCAUGAAAGCCUGCAACGCUCUAAGUCGCCAGCCCGACCCGCGAGGGGGGGCGGCGCCCAAGGCGGGGCCGGUGAUUGGGGUUAAGUCGAAACAAGGUAUCCCUACGAGAACGUGGGGAUGGAUCACCUCCUUU